AGAGAGAGAGAGAAAGAGAGAGAACCAAAGAACUAUUUUGGCAUGUGGAUUACAGAACGUAAACACUUCCCUUCUUUCAUGAGAUUGAAUGCUUUAUUGAUAUCUUCGAACGGCAGAUUGUGAGUGAUGAAGUCAUCAACUUGGAUUUCCUUCUUCAUAUACAUGUCUACUAAUGAAGGAAGAUGUGAUUUAGGUUUCCAUCCUCCAAACAGAGACCCUUUCAGUGUUCUUCCACUAAGAAACAGUCCAUAGUGAGCAGAUAUUUCAGGUUUCAGUUUUGGUACACCAAGUGUUACCGUUAAUCCACACCCAUCACAGCAAGAUUGUAAGGCUGUUGUAAUCAUUCCAGUGUCACCAAUACAUUCAAAUGAGUAAUCUGCCCCUCCAUUUAUAAUACUCUUAACAACCUGUUGAAUAGGUUCCUUAAAGUCAUUUGGGUUAAUAAAAUGUGUUAUUCCAAAAACCUUUGCUUUCUCAUGCCUUUCAGGGUUAGUGUCAACACCAAUUAUUUGAGAUGCCCCUCUGAGUUUAGCACCUUGUGCAACAGAAAGGCCUACAGUUCCAAGACCAAAAAUGACUACGGUUGAUCCUUCAGCUAUAUCAGCAACAUUCCAGGCUGCACCCAAACCUGCAGCUACCCCACAGCUCAGAAGGCAUAUUUUCUCCAAAGGUGCAGCUGAGCUGACUUUGACAGCACACCCAGUGUGCACCACUGUAUAUUCACUGAAACUUGAAACUGCACAAUAAUGAUAUAUGGGCUUCCCUUUAAUUGAGAACCGGGUUCUCUGAUCACUAUGCAUUACACCUCUCCUUUCCAGACCCAAUACUUGGCACAUGUUGCUUUUAACUGAGGUACACUGCCUGCAAGUCCUGCAUUCUCCCAUGAAUACUGUGAGCACAUGAUCCCCCUCUUCAAAUUCGGUCACUCCCUUUCCAAUGCUCUCGACAAUCCUGCAAACUUGAUAAUAAAAAACUACUCCAAAUAUCCUCAUUACAUAUCACAUGGUUAUCCUUAUUAUAUAUAAAUUACUAUAUGCUAUGGUAGGUGCCCAUUAAUCAUAAAUAUUAUUACCCAAGCAUUUAGUUAUCAUCUCUAGCUCUCCCUUGUUAUUUUACUCUCAACCCUACAUUUUGACAAAGCGAAAGUAGAAAUUUAGAGAUGGGAUUCAUUUUUAAGGUUAUUCAAGAGAAAAAAAAAAUUGUAGAAAUUAUAUGGCUAAUUAAUUUUCAAAGGGUAUGUUUGAGCGUCAAAUUAAAAUAUAUAAUGAUUUUGCACUGUGAAGAGCAAAAUAAUGAUAAGGUUCUUUUGCUGCUAUUUGACAAGUAAAUUAUGGUCCCAAUGGCAUUGUCUACGGUUAGAAUUGUAUAACAAAACCACAAAGCACAAUUUGAUAAAUAUGAGGGUGAGUCUUGAUGACAAGGUUUCUCCAUUUUAAGCCAAAGGUCACAUGUUAAGCACUAGGACUACCUAAAUCUUUUUUACUGUGAAAACCCAAACACAAACCAUAAAUUGAUGACCAGAAACCAAUUAAACAAAACAUUAGAAAUUUGAAUAAUAUUCAACUCAACUCAACUCAA
rnacentral:misc_RNA from 1 species